rnacentral:rRNA from 1 species
UUUUGAACUAAAUCUAGCCCAACUCAAAUAGAAACUUAACCAAAUAAAACUUUAAUAUAAAACAUUUGUAGACAUAAAGUAUAGGAGAUAGAAAUAUUCCAUAGAUGCGCUAUAGAGAUAGUACCGUAAGGGAAAAAUGAAAGAUAACUUAAUAGUACCAAAAAGCAAAGCUUAAACCUUAUACCUUUUGCAUAAUGAGUAAACUAGAAAAUUUUUGACAAAGGGAACUUUAGCCAAAAACCCCGAAACCAGACGAGCUACCCUAGAGCAAUCUUGUUGGAUCAACUCAUCUAUGUGGCAAAAUAGUGAGAAGACUUUAAGGUAAGAGGUGAAAAGCCAACCGAGCCUGGUGAUAGCUGGUUGCCCAAGAAAGAAUUUAAGUUCGACCUAAAAAUUACUACCAAUAACUAUAAAUUUAAUGUAAUUUUUAGUUAUAAUUAAAAGAGGUACAGCUCUUUUAAUUGAGGAAACAACCUUAUUUAGAGAGUAAACACCAAAUAAUUUCAUAGUUGGCCUAAAAGCAGCCACCAAUUAAGACAGCGUUAAAGCUCAACAAUUUAUUUCUCUAGAUUCCAUUAAUUCAAUUCUACUCCUAAAUUUAUAUUGGGCAAAUCUAUUCUUAUAUAGAAGCUAAUCUGUUAACAUAAGUAACAAGAGAAUAAAUCUCUCCCCGCACAAGUAUAUAUCAGAACGAAUACUCGCUGAUAAUUAACAACCUAGUAAUUAUACAAACUCUAGACUAUUAUAUUUACGCUUGUUAACCCGACACAGGAGUGCACUCUAAAGGAAAGAUAAAAAGAAGUAAAAGGAACUCGGCAAACUAAAAUCCCGCCUGUUUACCAAAAACAUCACCUCUAGCAUUACUAGUAUUAGAGGCACUGCCUGCCCAGUGACCCAUGUUUAACGGCCGCGGUACUCUGACCGUGCAAAGGUAGCAUAACAUUUGUUCUCUAAAUAAGGACUUGUAUGAAUGGCAACACGAGGAUUUAACUGUCUCUUACUUCUUAUCAGUGAAAUUGACCUCCCCGUGAAGAGGCGGGGAUUAGAACAUAAGACGAGAAGACCCUAUGGAGCUUAAAUUAAUAACCCAAUUGUUUCUCACAAAACCAAAAGGCAUAACUAUAACUAUAUGGAGAAAGAUUUCGGUUGGGGUGACCUCGGAGCAUAAUUAAACCUCCGAAUGAUAUAUACAUCUAGACCUACAAGUCGCAAUUAAAAUCACUUAUUGACCCAAUUACUUGAACAACGGACCAAGUUACCCUAGGGAUAACAGCGCAAUCCUAUUUAAGAGUUCAUAUCGACGAUAGGGUUUACGACCUCGAUGUUGGAUCAGGACACCCAGAUGGUGCAACAGCUAUCAAAGGUUCGUUUGUUCAACGAUUAAAGUCCUACGUGAUCUGAGUUCAGACCGGAGCAAUCCAGGUCGGUUUCUAUCUAUUUUAUUAAUCUCUCCUAGUACGAAAGGACCAUGAGAGAUAAGGCCAACUUCUAACCAGCGCCUUAACCAAACCAAUGAUAUAAUCUUAAUUUACCUAUAUCCAUUUCUGCUCUAGAUAAGAGCUU